ensembl:lncRNA
GAUUUAUCCUAGGGCCCAGGAGAGCCACGCUGAGCACAAUCCCUCCUGGAUUAACAUGUGUUUGAAGAGUCUGCAUGCAGACAACUGAUGCUGAAAAUCCUGAUGACAGCCUGAGCGUGUUUGUUGGGAAGUGUCACCUCAGCGGCACAGGGACAUCCCUCAGCCUACAGAGGGGUGAGAGAGACAGAGAUCCAAGUUCCCUGUGAGAGCAAUGAUGUUUCAUCAAAAGGAGCAAGUGUACCUUCCCCACACACUGUGUACGAGCACCCUGUGGUCAGCAAAUGCCAGUCCAGCUGUUCCCAUUGGAUGCAAUCACUGGCAGAACUGGGUUUGGAGGAACCAAAGAGCCUGUGCUUUCCUUUCCAUCCAUGAAACAAGCUUUUGGCUUCAAAACUUAAAUAAGAAGCUCACUGAUAGAUUUCCAUGUUGUAUAAAUUAAUGCAAGAAGAAAGGGAAAGUAUGCACAGCAACAGAGGGGUUUAUAGCCCUGAAGGAGCAAUGAAAGGAGAUGGACGUUUCUGCCCGCUGCAUUUAUUGGGAAAGGAGAGGUAAUUACACCGUGGUUGUGUUGCUGCCAAGUUAUAAUGUGGAUAGGAUGGUGUCUUUCAAGGAGACUAUCAAAUGGUUCAGUAGCAUGGAUAACCAACUGUGGUUUUUUCUGCAUGAUGACACCAGGCCAUAAUAACUGGUUGGGAAUAACGAUGCUAUAUUUUUCCAUUAAAUAAAGUUUUAUUUGUAGGACAUUGACUGAUUUUUAAAGUAACGUAGACUUUCCUUACCACUAAAGCCCACAUAUUUAACACACAGCCAAACUGUUCUCUCUGAAACCACAUUAUGCAUGUUGUAACAAUACUCUCCCACAGACGAUGAACACUGAGGACAUAUUUUUCCAUGUGAAUCAUCCAUUCACUUAAAAAAUACAUUCCCUUAUUAAAAAAUGCAGCCAUGUGACAAGUUUUGCAGUGCUGUGUUCCACUUCUCUUUUUCAUUAGACUAUUAAAAAUUUAUUGCUGUUUCAAAUCAUUUUCUGAUGACUGCAUAAUUUUUCCUCCUUAUUCCCCUCGUUUCCUUUCCAAGAUAAUAUCAAGCAGUUUCCACCUUCGCUUUGCUGCGAGUGCACCUAAGUAAAAUAAAUGACCAAGAACUGAUCCUGCAGUGAGAUGAAUGCAAAUAGAUCUGCAUUGCUUCCUUCAAACCAGCGGUCACACAUUGACCCAUAAAGCUGCCGGUUGGCAUUUCUCUGCCAAGUAAGGCCACAAAAGAGACAUGAAGUUGUCAUUACAAUCCCUGUCUCUGAUCACUGAGAAAUACGGAGUCCCUGCAAUUUUGUAUGUUUUCCUCUAAAACUAGAAGGUUAAGAGGGAGCAUGAAAAGCAUAUGUUGCUGCUGAAAGGCUGGUAGUCUGGGUUGGUAUCCAUUACCAGAUGCUGUUCUGC